AUCCGGACAAAGGAGCCCAAUUCUUUUACAAAGUUGUCCCCAAAGAGAAAACCUUUUGCCUGUGUUAUCUGGCUCGUUUAGAGCCAUAGUGACACGUUUGGGCUUAAUCAUGAGCAAGAUCAAUUUGCAGCGUUCUUUGACAACCGCAUUUUUGGCGUUGCCAACUUAAAUCACUCUCUGGAUCUAACCACUUAAGAUGGCGCAUUCUAAUUCUAGAUCAUCCUCUACUGCUUCAAAGAUCUCGGCUGCUGGGCCCAAGA